GAUGAACGCUGGCGGCGUGCCUAAUACAUGCAAGUCGAGCGAACAGACGAGGAGCUUGCUCCUCUGACGUUAGCGGCGGACGGGUGAGUAACACGUGGAUAACCUACCUAUAAGACUGGGAUAACUUCGGGAAACCGGAGCUAAUACCGGAUAAUAUAUUGAACCGCAUGGUUCAAUAGUGAAAGACGGUUUUGCUGUCACUUAUAGAUGGAUCCGCGCCGCAUUAGCUAGUUGGUAAGGUAACGGCUUACCAAGGCAACGAUGCGUAGCCGACCUGAGAGGGUGAUCGGCCACACGGAAACUGAGACAGGGCCCAACCCCUAACGGGGGGCAGAAGUGGGGAUUCUUCCGCAAUGGGCGAAGGCCUGACGGGGCAACGCGGCGUGAGUGAUGAGGGCCUUCGGAUCGUAAACCCUUGUAAUUAGGAAGAACAAAUGUGUAAGUAACUAUGCACGUCUUGACGGUACCUAAUCAGAAAGCCACGGCUAACUACGUG
rnacentral:rRNA from 1 species